GUGUCAGCCGCCGCGGUAAUACGUAAGAGGCAAGCGUUGUCCGGAAUCACUGGGCGUGAAGGGUGCGCAGGCGGUCUAGUAAGUCAAAAGUGAAAUCCAUCGGCUCAACCGGUGAACUGCUUUUGAAACUAUUAGACUUGAGAAUAGGAGAAGAGAGUGGAAUUCCUGGUGUAGUGGUGAAAUACGUAGAUAUCAGGAAGAAUACCAAUGGCGAAAGCAGCUCUCUAGCCUAAUUCUGACGCUGAGGUACGAAAGCUAGGGUAUCAAACAGGAUUAGAUACCCGUGUAGUCC
rnacentral:rRNA from 1 species